GGUACAAAUAAGACAAAUUCCACCCGCAUGCUUUAACCUAUAAAACCUAUAUAUACUCGUCACCUUGCAUAUAUUCCAUUGUCACAACCCAAAAUCGCACCUUAAGGAGCAUGAUAUCACUUAAUCUCUAAGACUAGGUAAGCCGAUCACUUACAACGGUUAAUUAAAUCAAUUAGACAUGAUAUUAUGAGACCGAAUUUAAUAUAAAUACAGAGAUAAAAUAAUACAAGCAUACACGAUGAUAAUCACAACAGGAACUCCCAAGACUAGGUAGUACAGAGUCGCGAGCUCUAACUGAUUAUAUAGUAUUAUCUCAAAACAAAAAUUACAAUGUUGUUCAGAUAGAGAAUUGACAAUAAAAUUAAAAGGGAAGGACUCCAAGGGACUACAGAUAUCGAGCAGCUCUACCUUAAAUCAUCGCGAUCAGUAGCUAACAUUUCCUAGAACCACCACCUUCAACACUUGUAUCUGCACAAAAAUAUGUAAAAGUAUAGUAUGAGUACAUCGCAAUCGGUACCCAGUAAGUAUCCAGACUAACCUCGAUAGAGUAGAUGAGGUAUCAGUCAAGACACCUACUAGAUAUAAUAACUUGUGCAGAAUAUAAGUAUAACGCUAAUAAUGGAAGCAAGAACCAGUAAAUGGUAACAAGGAAUAAACAUGUGAUAACACAGUAAAAAUAAUCCAACACAGUUAAAUGUACAUGUGAAAUAAAUUAAGGGAAAAACACGACAGCUUAAAUCAUCAAACCGUUUCGACACAAGAUUUACCAUUAGAAUCACCCCGAGGUACCACACCUCACAAUCACAAAUCACGAGUCUCAAGUCAUUAAUCAUUUACACAUGGCACCUCAUGCCCACAUUAUCAAUCACAAUCGCACGGAUAACUCUCAUGCCGAUAUCACAAUCUGCCCGGCAUGGUCACAUGCUCACUAUCACAAUCCGACCACCAUGGUCACAUGCUCACUAUCACAAUCCGAUUGGCAUGGUCACAGGCUAACAGUCCAACCAUAUUGCAGAGAAAGUAAAUAUACAAGAAUACAUGUGCAUGUUCAAUGAACAUCAAAUUUCAUACUCUUGAACUGGUUUAAAUGACAUAUUAUGGUGCAUGCAUGUGCAAGUGUACUAUCACAGUUCAAGUAAACAAGUAAUAUCAUAUACACCGAGUGACACAUUGGAAACAACAUAACAAUUACGUAAUAUGCAUGACGCACACUAUGGAGUCAAAAGCAACAACCAGAAUACUCAUCUUUCAUCAACAACACACCCCCAGGCCAACACAUAACAUUUUCCAUAUCGCCACCCUUAUCUCAUCACAUUGACAAUAUCAUAAUAGCCACUCGUAUCUUCGCCCAGACAAUUUAUAAAUAGUCACCCAUAUCUCUCCGCCCCGACAAUAACAUAAUAGCCACCCAUAUCCCUCCGCCCAGAUAAUAAUACAAUAGUCACUCGUAUCACUCCACCCAGACAAUAUAUCAAUAGCCACCUGUAUUGCUCCGCAUAAUCAACAAUAGUGAAAUGCCAUCCUUAUGCUCCGCACAAUCAACAAUAGUAAAAUGCUACCCUUGUGCUCCGCACAACAAUAAUCAAUCCCCACAAUGUCCACAUAUGUCACAAUAUUGCCAAAAAAACAAUACUAACAUCACGAUAACGCCUAAACCAUGACUCAACAACAAUGUAUACAAGAGUCUCAUCAAUCAAAAUAAUGACAUGGAAAGAUAAACUCAACAAUUAAAGAUAUAAUAUGUAAUAACAACAUCAAUUACAUGCAUAUAAGUAACCUAAGAGUCUAACCGGUCAAUUUCCACAUGUAAGGCCGUGUACACACUCGUCACCUUAUGUACACGUCUUUCACAUAAUAGAAAUAGUGUAAUUAAACCCAAUUCUAUGGGGUAGUUUCCCCAUACAAAGUUAGGCAAGAUAUUUACCUCAAUUAGGCCAAAUCUAACAUUAAGUAUCUGAGUUCACAUAGGGUUCGAGGAAGAGUCGCACCUUAAGAGAUAUGAUAUAGGUGACUUACCCUAAUGGAAUCAUCAGUGACUAAUUUCACAACCUUUGAACCGAUGGCGAUCAAGAAAUUGUUAGAAAAUGACUGAUAAGGGAAAGACUUGGUGAUUUUGAAUUUUUUUGACUUUACAAGCUUGAAAGUGGGAACGUUAGCUUUUGUGUUACUAAUUUUUUACACACACACACACUCGCAAAGAAAGUUAGCUCGAUUUUGAUGCAUGAAUGGUCCAUUCGUUGACUAUUUACUACAUUGUCCGGAGCAUUAAAGAAAAGCUUUGAGAGUAUAACAUAUAAACUAUGCCUGUGCCUAGGGGUGAGCAUUCGGUAUUUCGGUUCGGUAUUUGAGAAUUUCGGUUCGGUCUUUUGAUAUUCGGAUUAUCAGUUGUGUAUACCAAAUACCGUACCAAAAUAUUUCGAUACGGUUCAGUAUUUAUUAUUUUGGUUCGGUACAGUUUCGAUUUAAUAUUCGUUAAAUAAGCAACACUAACGAGUGACAAUUCUCCUAUGUUUCAAUGCACUGUCUAACUGUUCAUCCAAGAAAUACAAUGAAAUUGAACAACCAUUUCUUCAGAAAGAAGUAAAUAGACAUGAUGCAUUUUCUAAUGCUGGCAUUUGGAGCCAACUCACAUUCUUGGCUUAAUGCCUUAAUCCACUAUUCAACAAACAUGCGACAGUAGCAGCAUUAACAUGCUGCAAAUUUUUUCUCUGAAAAUGGCCAAGUUUAAUGUAAUCUUUUGGCAGAAAAUAUAUGCAACAGUAGCAGCAUUAACAAUAGCAGAAUUAACAGUACCAACAUUAACAGUAGUAGUAGCAGAAUUAACAGUAACAAUAGAAUGAGAACAAAAUUAAUUUUUGAAUUAAUAGUAGCAGGAGAAUUAUUUUUCUUUUUCUAAAUUAAAAAUAUUUAAUUUUUUCUGAACAAUGUAUGAAUGAGACAGUGUCAUAUAAAAUGAAACACCCGUUACAUAAUUUAACAAAUUUUUCAAACUAGUGCUAAUGAAAUUCAAACAAGGAGAAUAAAUCUUGAAAUGGAUGAACUGAGAAUAAGCAGAAAACACAGGAGGAAGACGAAAACUAUCUCUUGAUUACAAAAUUCUCUCUCAAGAAAUUAUUUCAACAUGUGGGUAAAAGUUAUGAACCUGUUGAAGUCUUGAAGAGUUGAAGAUUAAAGAUUGUUUCUCAAUUCUCACUUCUCAGAGUUCUCUCACAGGUCACAGCCAUGGCCGGUCAGCCGAUCUCUUAGGUUUUUAAUUACCAAUUCCAAGUGAGAGUGAAAGACUAAAU
rnacentral:lncRNA from 1 species